rnacentral:rRNA from 1 species
UACAUGUGGGGCAAGCGUUGUUCGGAAUUACUGGGCAUAAAGGGUGCGUAGGCGGCUUGUUAAGUCAUUGGUGAAAGUUUUCGGCCCAACCGGAAAAUUGCCUGUGAUACUGGCGAGCUGGAGUGCGUGAGGGGUGGGGGGAACGAGCAGUGUAGCGGUGGAAUGCGCAGAUAUCAGGAGGAACACCGGUGGCGAAGGCGGUUCUCUGGGCCUUACCUGACGCUGAGGAGCGAAAGCGUGGGGAGCGAACAGG